AACGAACGCUGGCGGCAUGCCUAACACAUGCAAGUCGAACGAGAUCUUCGGGUCUAGUGGCGCACGGGUGCGUAACGCGUGGGAAUCUGCCCUUUGGUUCGGAAUAACAGUUGGAAACGACUGCUAAUACCGGAUGAUGACGAAAGUCCAAAGAUUAUCGCCAGAGGAUGAGCCCGCGUAGGAUUAGCUAGUUGGUGUGGUAAAGGCGCACCAAGGCGACGAUCCUUAGCUGGUCUGAGAGGAUGAUCAGCCACACUGGGACUGAGACACGGACCAGACUCCUACGGGAGGCAGCAGUGGGGAAUAUUGGACAAUGGGCGAAAGCCUGAUCCAGCAAUGCCGCGUGAGUGAUGAAGGCCUUAGGGUUGUAAAGCUCUUUUACCCGGGAUGAUAAUGACAGUACCGGGAGAAUAAGCUCCGGCUAACUCCGUGCCAGCAGCCGCCGCAG
rnacentral:rRNA from 1 species